AGCCCAUCUCCUGCUACCUCGGAUCCCCCGGGAGCCUGGCAGGGAUGUGAGGGCUCUACCACACGUGGAGCAGGCUUCGAGCCAAUUUUAUUUGAAUCUCAAAGAGAUACAGAACCCCAGCUGACAUCUGGGUUUCACGAUAAAUUCCACCACCUCACCCCUUCACGUAAAUUAUUAAGACUGAUUUCUAUUACAGUAAAAGUAGCACGUUGUCUAAAAAACCGAAACAUAAUUUGAUUGAAAGAAGUUAUUCUGGUCUUUCAGUUUUUCUGUUUAAAUUCGCCAAUUAUAUAGAAAUGACAGCUCAUUGUUGCUUUUUUGGUGUUACAGAAUCUUUUUUAAAAAAAUUUAUUGUAUUUUUACUAGAGUAUAGUUGAUUUCUGGUUUUGUAUCAAUUUCUGUUCUAUAGCAUAGUGAUCCAGUCCUACAAAUAUGCAUUCUUUUCCUCAUAUAAUCAUCCGUAAGUUUCUACCCCAAGAGAUUGGAUAUAGUUCCCUGGGCUACACAGUAGGACCUUAUUGUCCUAAAUGUAAUAGUUUGCAUCGACCAACCCCAAACUCCCCGUCUACCCGACUCCGUCCCUCUCCCCCUGGGCAACCACAAGUCUGCUCUCCAUGUCUGUGAGUGGGUUUCUGUUUUGCAGAUAGGUUCAUUUGUGCCCUCUCUUAGAUUCCACACAUCAGCGAUAGCAUAGGGUAUUUGUCUUUCUCUUUCUGACUUACUUCACUUAGAAGGACACUCUCUAGUUGCAUCUGUGCAUGCUGGUCCCUGGCUAACUGCAGGGCAGAUCUCUGUUGAGGGGGCCCCAUUGCUUCCCACAAAGGCAUGUGACUCCUAUCUCCUUCCCGUACUCAAACACCACAGGGAUUCUUUCUUCAACGUCAUGUAUUCAGAGGGCAACGUUCCCUAUAGAGCCUUGUAGGGAAGAUUGCUCUGGUUGAAACAUUGGCAUUCGCUGAUCAUGAUCCUUCCUAUAUUUGAGAACUCGCAAGACAGGAGGAAGACAGGGAGCUCCUGCCGUGGCUCAGCGGAAACAAAUCUGACUAGUAUCCAUGAGGACGCAGGUUUGAUCCCUGGUCUCGCUCAGUGGGUUAAGGAUCCGCCAUUGCUGUGGCUGUGGUGUAGGCCAUCACCUGCAGCUCUGAUUCAGUCUCGACCCUGGGAAUCUCCACAUGCCAUGUGUGUGGCCCUAAAAAAAAAGAAAAAAAAAGAUAGGAGGAAGCUAGAACCUAGCCCCUCCUCCCAGAGUAGGUCCUAUUUCCACCUCUCAGGGCUCUGGAAGACAGACGUGGGGAUGUGGGAGAUAAGUGGGUGUGAGAGAGCCCUGCUGGAUGUAGUCAGUAUAUCACGAGACGUACUAGAGUUAUGUUGCCAGACAGGCGAAUGCUCCUGUCUAGGACUUGGGCUUCAAGGAAUGAUGGAAAGAUCUCAGACGGGUAGAAAUGACGUGUGGUGGGAUGCUGUAGAGGGUGGUGUGGUGGCUGGUGCAGGUGGAGAAGGCCUUGCUCUGGGCCUGCAGGGACCUCAUCCUGCAGAUUGUGCCCAGGAUGUAGGCAUAAGAGACCACGAUGACGGAGAUCGUGGGGAGAGUGACGGAGGCAGAAAGGACGAGCAAGAUGACAUUGGCCGUGGCGGUGUCUGA
rnacentral:lncRNA from 1 species